rnacentral:rRNA from 1 species
GACGAAUGCUGGCGGCGUGCUUAACACAUGCAAGUCGAACGGUGAAGGAGAGCUUGCUCUCUGGAUCAGUGGCGAACGGGUGAGUAACACGUGGGUAACCUGCCCCUCACUUCGGAAUAACCAUCCGAAAGGAUGGCUAAUACCGGUUGUGGAAACUUGGAGGCAUCUCCGGGUUUGGAAAGAUUUUCGGUGAGGGAUGGACCCGCGGCCUAUCAGCUUGUUGGUGAGGUAAUGGCUGGCCAAGGCGAAGACGGGUAGCCGGCCUGAGAGGGCGACCGGCCACACUGGGGCUGAGAUACGGCCCAGACUCCUACGGGAGGCAGCAGUGGGGAAUAUUGCACAAUGGGCGAAAGCCUGAUGCAGCGACGCCGCGUGAGGGAUGAAGGCCUUCGGGUUGUAAACCUCUUUCAGUAGGGACGAAGCGCAAGUGAUGGUACCUACAGAAGAAGCACCGGCUAACUACGUGCCAGCCGCCGCAGUAA